rnacentral:tRNA from 1 species
UGGCUCAGUGGUAGAGUGCUUGCCUUGCGUGCAUGAGGCUCUGGGUUCAAAUCCUCAG